rnacentral:rRNA from 1 species
GUGAGGAAUAUUGCUCAAUGGGCGAAAGCCUGAAGCAGCGACGCCGCGUGAGGGAUGAAGUCCGUUAGGAUGUAAACCUCUUUUGCAGGGGAAGAAUGUCCCGACUUGUCGGGAUUGACGGUACCCUGUGAAUAAGCACCGGCCAACUACGUGCCAGCAGCCGCGGUAAUACGUAGGGUGCGAGCGUUGUCCGGAAUUACUGGGUGUAAAGGGUCCGCAGGCGGGCAAGCAAGUCGGUGGUGAAAUCUUUCCGCUCAACGGAAAAACUGCCUCCGAUACUGCUUGUCUUGAGUUCGAGAGAGGAUGAUGGAAUUCAUGGUGUAGCGGUGAAAUGCGUAGAGAUCAUGAAGAACACCGGUAGCGAAGGCGGUCAUCUGGCUCGAUACUGACGCUCAGGGACGAAAGCGUGGGGAGCAAACAGGAUUAGAAACCCGUGUAGUCC